UUUUUGUCUUAGGCCUGCAAACUCUGAAUUGGAUAAUACAAUAAUAAUAAUAAUAAAAUACACGUUUUAAAAUUAAAUAUUUGCACACACGAUCACAAUUUAUUUCCCUUCAUAACCCCAAUUUUUGCAUGGCCCUCUUAUAGCAUAUACAUAUAGCUACUAUGGUACAAAGGGAGGCAUAUACAUCAAAGUAUAUAUGACACAUGAAACAUAUUGGUAUAUCAAAUAUUCUGGACAGUUCAGUUGGAUAUGGAACAAUGGGAACUCUUGAUAGUACUUCAUAUACCUGCCAUGCAUUCCGGUGGGGUGACCGGGUACCGAGACUUGUCGGUGCAGUAAUCGUAGAUCAUGUGGUUCAUCCGAACCCACCUGUAUCUCCUAGCUUCCAUGGCAUUAAGAGCUUGAUAAGCAGUACCUUCCCACCAGUUCCUAGGGUUACUAGCACAAUUUGCUGGCCCUGGAACUGGACACCCUUCAAUGUCAAAAUCCUUGUAAUAAGCCAAAAAUGGUGCUUUGCUCCAAUCAAUUUUCUCAA
rnacentral:lncRNA from 1 species